GACGAACGCUGGCGGCGUGCUUAACACAUGCAAGUCGAACGGAAAGGCCUCUUUGGGGGGGUACUCGAGUGGCGAACGGGUGAGUAACACGUGAGUAACCUGCCCUUGACUUUGGGAUAACUUCAGGAAACUGGGGCUAAUACCGGAUAGGAGCUCCUGCUGCAUGGUGGGGGUUGGAAAGUUUCGGCGGUUGGGGAUGGACUCGCGGCUUAUCAGCUUGUUGGUGGGGUAGUGGCUUACCAAGGCUUUGACGGGUAGCCGGCCUGAGAGGGUGACCGGCCACAUUGGGACUGAGAUACGGCCCAGACGCCUACGGGAGGCAGCAGGGGGGAAUAUUGCACAAUGGGUGGAAGCCGGAUGCAGCAACGCCGGGUGCGGGAGGACGGCCUUCGGGUUGUAAACCGCUUUCGCUCAUGACGAAGCUUUGUGUGACGGUAGUGGGUAAAGAAGCACCGGCUAACUACGUG
rnacentral:rRNA from 1 species